rnacentral:rRNA from 1 species
UACAGAGGUCCCAAGCGUUGUUCGGAUUUACUGGGCGUAAAGGGUGCGUAGGCGGUCUGUAAAGUCUGGUGUGAAAUUUUGCGGCUCAACCGCAAAAGUGCAUUAGAAACUUGUAGACUAGAGAACUGGAGGGGAAGUUGGAAUUCUCGGUGUAGCAGUGAAAUGCGUAGAUAUCGAGAGGAACGCCAGUAGCGAAAGCGAACUUCUGGACAGCUUCUGACGCUGAGGCACGAAAGCUAGGGUAGCAAACAGG